GUCGGGACUAGAAGCCCAGGCACAUGGGCUCAUCAGUAUUAUCGUAUCCUUAAUUAUUGAAUACAUGCAGGCCUACCCUGUCCUUUCCUUCAACAGAUCUCUGUCCUUUUAUGUGUUACAUAAGUUCGCCGCCACAUCAUCACUUAGCUUUUUCAACGGCUGUGAUUGAACUAGAACUUCCAGUAAUAGAAUCAUACCUCCUAAACAUGUGGGCCACAAUCAAACACGCAGUGAGGGUCACGUAAUCCUUAGCCGCACAUUGUUUAUUUGACGCGUUUGGUGAAUCAGUCUGCGGCCCAUUUGACCAGUAUAAGUAACUCAGUAACUCUCUUCCCUUGCCCAUGAACCGGUCCGGUUUAAAACUCUCCGGUUCAUCAAAUACCUUAGGGUCUCUCAUAACCAGUGUUUGAUACCCACAAAGUAACUCGCCCUUUUUGAUGUCAUAUACCGAGUCAUGAGAACUGAGUUGAAAGUCUUUCCUGGCUCGGGCAUAUUGGAGAGGAACGGGUGGGUUGAGUCGAAAUGUCUCGUAGACCACUGAUUGAACGAGAGGCAUUUCUUUAACCGAGUCAAAAGUUAAACUCGGGCCGCCGUUUUCUCUAGCUUCUUUGCGUAGUCUUUCUUGUAACCCAGUGGUGUCGCUUGCAACUGUGCCUAUUAGAACCGGUAAAAACACAGAGAAGCCACCAAAUGCAUUGAAACCCAGUAUAAAAAGAAGGUUAUGAAUCGUUUCUUCCUCACUGAGUCCAAACUCGGACUCACCUCGCCGUAUCACUUCUUUACCUUCUUUUCUGAUGAACUGAGCCAACUUGUUGUAAUCUCCAGAAACAAGAAAAGAAGGGUAGGCAAAAGAGUGAAGAAAGAUUUCCUCGAGGGGCUGAGCAACACCGAUGUGGACGGUGGGGAGGAGCUGGAGGGCCAACCACUGGUCAAGCAUGGCGUACCCAUUCUUUUCAAUUUCAGGAGAGGUUGAUGGGUCAGCUCCAACAAGCGAUUUAAUCAGGAACUUGAACAUGCUUUGCUGGAGAGUGAAAAUGUAGCUUGAACUGCCUUUUUCUGAGACGUCACUGUCAACGUUUUCCCAAAGGAUAUCAAGGUUGGCUAGAAGUUCCGUGAGCCACACCUUGGAGCCUCGUUUCAAGAUGUCCAUUGCAAAAUUUUUUACCUUAGCAUGCUGAGGCUCAGAAGGAUCAAGAUAAGCGCCGGUCCUAAUAUUUCCGGUGAACUUAGUACUCGGCAUGAAAUCACCCACAAGAACGUUUUUCUUCUCGACGAUUUCCAUAUCAAAAAGAUGAGCAAAAGACUUGCAAUCAAGAACAGCCACAAAAUUUGG
rnacentral:misc_RNA from 1 species